CGGCCGGGGAUGAGCUCCCGGGGCCGCGAUCGUGCGUUUGUGUGUCUGUGUGUGUCUGUGUCUGUGUGUGUGUCUGUGUGUGUGUCUGUGUGUGUGUCUGUGUGUGUGUGUGUGUGUGUCUGUGUGUGUGUGUCUGUGUCUGUGUGUGUGUGUGUGUGUGUUUGUGCGUGUGUUUCUGUUUGUGUUUGUGUCGCACCCGCCGGGACACCGGGUUCCCGUGGCACACACACCCCCCCGUGAACAGGCGCACGAACCCAUUUUAAACGUAUAAAUAUGCGCUGUCCUCAUGUGCCGUCCCUCAUAGAUACUUGGCAUCACGGUAUAUAUAAGUCCCCCUCUCUCUCUAUUAGGACUUACGGAUCCAGCCGGGUUUGUGCCCUGGAAACAGAUGAUUUUCAGCUGCAGGAAAAACGGGUCCUCGGAGAUGCACAUAAGCAGUUUUUGGAACAAAGGUUAUGCCCUGCAUCUGUCAGUUCUUGAGUCAUCUGGGAGCUGGGAAGACAGCCAGGAAUGAUCUGGGAAGACACAUUCAAAUGGUGGUAUCAGAUACUGUGCUGUAAAGAGCAGCAAUGCAGUGUGACUGUCUGCAGGGCUUGGAAUGUAAGGAAUGAAGUGGGGCUAAUUCCAGGAAGCUGCAAUCACUG